UACGAAGGGGGCUAGCGUUGCUCGGAAUUACUGGGCGUAAAGCGCACGUAGGCGGUCUUUUAAGUCGGGGGGUGAAAUCCUGGAGCUCAACUCCAGAACUGCCUUCGAUACUGGAAGACUUGAGUCCGGGAGAGGUGAGUGGAACUGCGAGUGUAGAGGUGAAAUUCGUAGAUAUUCGCAAGAACACCAGUGGCGAAGGCGGCUCACUGGCUCAUUACUGACGCUCAGGCGCGAUAGCGUGGGGAUCAAACAGG
rnacentral:rRNA from 1 species